rfam:Lottia gigantea unplaced genomic scaffold LOTGIsca_18, whole genome shotgun sequence.
GUCUACGGCCAUACCACGUUAAAAACACCAGUUCUCGUCCGAUCACUGAAGUUAAGCAACGUCGGGCUCGGUUAGUACUUGGAUGGGUGACCGCCUGGGAACACCGAGUGCAGUAGACG